rnacentral:rRNA from 1 species
UACGGGGGGGGCAAGCGUUGUUCGGAAUUACUGGGCGUAAAGGGCCAGUAGGCGGCCAACUAAGUCGGACGUGAAAUCCCCAGGCUCAACCUGGGAACUGCGUCCGAUACUGGAUGGCUUGGAUUUGGGAGAGGAUGCGGAAUUCCAGGUGUAGCGGUGAAAUGCGUAGAUAUCUGGAGAACACCGGUGGCGAAGGCGGCAUCCUGGACCAAUAUUGACGCUGAGGAGCGAA